rnacentral:rRNA from 1 species
CCUACGGGUGGCAGCAGUGAGGAAUAUUGGUCAAUGGGCGCGAGCCUGAACCAGCCAAGUCGCGUGAGGGAGGACGGUCCUGUGGAUUGUAAACCUCUUUUGUCAGGGAACAAAAUCCGCCACGCGUGGCCUUCCGAGAGUACCCGAAGAAAAAGCAUCGGCUAACUCCGUGCCAGCAGCCGCGGUAAUACGGAGGAUGCGAGCGUUAUCCGGAUUUAUUGGGUUUAAAGGGUGCGCCGGCGGACAGUCAAGUCAGCGGUAAAAGUCAGGGGCUCAACCUCGGCCAGCCGUUGAAACUGGUAGUCUCGAGUUGGAGAGAAGUAUGCGGAAUGCGCGGUGUAGCGGUGACAUGCAGAGAUAUCGCGCAGAACUCCGAUUGCGAAGGCAGCAUGCCGGCUCCACACUGCCGCUGAGGCACGAACGCGUGGGUAUCGAACAGGAGUAGAUACCCUAGUAGUC